UACGUAGGCAGCGAGCGUUGUUCGGAGUUACUGGGCGUAAAGGGUGUGUAGGCGGUUGUUUAAGUUUGGUGUGAAAUCUCCCGGCUCAACUGGGAGGGUGCGCCGAAUACUGAAUGACUUGGAGUCCUGGAGAGGAAGGUGGAAUGCUUGGUGUAGAGGUGAAAUUCGUAGAUAUCAAGCGGAACACCGGUGGCGAAGGCGGCCUUCUGGACAGUGACUGACGCUGAGACGCGAAAGCGUGGGGAGCAAACAGG
rnacentral:rRNA from 1 species